GCGGCGAUCUACUACCCGCACAAAGGUAUUGUGUUCUGAACACAUUACAAUAAAGUGUUUAUUGUUCAAAUUCGAAUUUCAAAUUUAAAUGCAUGCAUGCUAUAUAUCAUAUUUAGAUCCUAGUAUAAGAUAAAUUUAUGUUAAUUAAUUAGAUUAAUUAAUAUUUUUUCACUGUAAAAUCAUGAUUUUGAAAAAGUUUUAAAAUUAUCAUUUUACCCCUGCACUGAAUUUUCCCAC
rnacentral:lncRNA from 1 species